AGAGUUUGAUCCUGGCUCAGGAUGAACGCUAGCGGCAGGCUUAACACAUGCAAGUCGAGGGGCAGCGCGUUGUAGCAAUACGAUGGCGGCGACCGGCGAAAGGGUGCGUAACGCGUGAGCAACCUGCCCGUAUCCGGGACAUAAGCGGUGGAAACGCCGUCUAAUUUCCCAUAACAACGAGGGCCGCAUGGUCCAUGUUUGAAAGAUGCGUCGGAUACGGAUGGGCUCGCGAGACAUUAGCUAGUCGGCGUGGUAACGGCACACCGAGGCGACGAUGUCUAGGGGUUCUGAGAGGAAGGUCCCCCCACACUGGUACUGAGACACGGACCAGACUCCUACGGGAGGCAGCAGUGAGGAAUAUUGGUCAAUGGGCGCGAGCCUGAACCAGCCAAGUAGCGUGCGGGAAGAAGGCCCUACGGGUUGUAAACCGCUUUUGCGCGGGGAUAAAAAACGGGACUUGUCCCGUCUUGCAGGUACCGCGCGAAUAAGGACCGGCUAAUUCCGUGCC
rnacentral:rRNA from 1 species